UACGUAGGGACCAAGCGUUGUCCGGAAUCAUUGGGCGUAAAGCGCGCGUAGGUGGCCAUUUAAGUCCGCUGUGAAAGUCAGAGGCUCAACCUUUGAAAGCCGGUGGAUACUGGAUGGCUAGAGUACGGAAGAGGCGAGUGGAAUUCCUGGUGUAGCGGUGGAAUGCGCAGAUAUCAGGAGGAACACCAAUAGCGAAGGCAGCUCGCUGGGACGUUACUGACACUAAGGCGCGAAAGCGUGGGGAGCGAACCGGG
rnacentral:rRNA from 1 species